rnacentral:lncRNA from 7 species
GGAAACAUCUCUACUUACAGAUGACCUCCUUUGGAGUGUUUGGUGAGCUCUGACCUUCAGAAAAGGGCACCAUAUUUUAAAGAUGAAGUUAGUAUGUAUCAGCUAACGUUGCUGCAGUCACCUUUACAAAGAAUGAAAAAGGUCUUUUCUACUGUCAGCCAACAUAUAAUGAAUUUCAUUAUGCAGUUCAAAGCUCUUGCUCCAGUCCCAACUGUGUGUGACUCUAAAAAAAGUAACUGGCAUGAGAUCUUGUCAGUGUGUAGGAUCUGGAAAAGCCCUGAGAGACUGUGGCCAUUAAAUAAUGGGUGGUAUUAAGUGUCAUGAUUUAUUUUUUUCAAAUUCAGAAUAAACAGCAUAUAUUCAAUAAUAAGAAAUGUAUCCUGAAAUAGCUGUUUUAGGGCUUCUUGUUAUGUCUAGUAAAUAAUAAAUGUGAAAUGUAAACUACUUAUCUCUCAGGAUGAAGAUUGAAUGUCUCUGUUGUUACAUCCUCUGUACCCUGCCCUGCAAAGCUCAUAGAUUUUAAAAAAAUAUAUAUAUAUCCUUGCCUUUUAUUCAGAAGUAUUCUCCUUCUGAGGCCCUUCCCUUCACCACCUUCAUAUUCAUCUCCCAGUUAAUUACUUAUAUUUGCUGUUUUGAUACUUUGUAAAGUUCCUUCAUACGCAAAAUUUUGUUGUAUAGAAAACAUUUGUUAAAUUGUAAAUCCACUCUAAAAUUCAGAUGUCUUUCUGUGAUACUUUUGUAUUACAUAAUUACAAAAUGGCUGACACUGGAGGGGCCAUCUACUUCAACUCUGCUCAAGCAGGACUGGCCCUGCCAUUUUGCUCAGGACCAUGCUGAGAUGUCUUUUAAAGAUCUCCAAGGAGGUGACUGGAUUGGAUUCUCUCCAGUAUGUUCCAGACUAUAGUGGGGGCCCAGAGCUGGACCCAGCACUCCAUGUUGUAGCUUGACCGAUGUCAAUCCUUCCAUGGAUUAUGGCCAGAGAAACUGUGUUUUGACAUGAAUAUCAACUUCCAUUCACUAGAAAUGAUGAUUGCAAAGUUGGAAUACUUCAAAAUUUGUGCCAUGUAAGUCUCAUGAAUACUUGCACUGGAACAGAAAGAACACUGUAUGCACAUUUGCAGGACCAAUUGAACCAAUAUGAGGCUGAAAAUGACAGUUUCCUGGAUCUCAUUGUUAGUGGUGACAGGAUGUGGUGUGACCACUGUGAGCUGCAGUCAAAAUGUCAGUCCAUGGAAUGGCAAGAUGUGGAUUCUGCAUUGAAGAAAAACUUCAAGUUACUGUUCUCAGUCAACUGACUGCUAUGCUGCGAUGUUGACUAAACUGGAGGUUGGAACUUCCAGAGUCAGGCUGGAGAAGAUGGCAGUCUUUCACUUAUAACACAAUAAUGCCAGACCCCAUGUCACUUUGAGGACCAUAGAGCGCACAGUCAAACUUGGCUGCACUGUCCUGGCACGCCCACUGUAAUAGUACAGAUUUGGCUGACUUCUAUCUGUUCAGGCCAAUGAAAGAUGAACUGCACAGGCAACAUUUUCCUAACAACUAUGCUGUCAUAACAGCUGUGAAAGUGGGUCCCUUCUGCUGGUGCAGAUUUUUAUGAAUGUGGCAUGCAGGUUCUUGUUCUGCAGGUUCUGGUGAAAAUGUAUAGCUAAUGAUGAUGACUAUAUUGAAAAAUAGUAUUUAAUAGCAAAUUCUAUAUAUAUAUAUAUAAUUUAUAUAUGGAGAGAGAAUUUGCUAUAUCAGAUAAGUAUAAAGAGCACAAUAAAUCUGUUGCUGUUUCC